rnacentral:rRNA from 1 species
UACGUAGGGUGCAAGCGUUGUCCGGAUUUACUGGGCGUAAAGAGCGCGCAGGCGGUCGUUCAAGUCGCGUGUGAAAGCCCCCGGCUCAACUGGGGAGGGUCACGCGAUACUGAUCGACUCGAAGGCAGGAGAGGGAAGUGGAAUUCCCGGUGUAGUGGUGAAAUGCGUAGAUAUCGGGAGGAACACCAGUGGCGAAGGCGACUUCCUGGCCUGUUCUUGACGCUGAGGCGCGAAAGCUAGGGGAGCGAACGGG